CUAGUCCAAGGAAGGAAACCCACUAAAAAAAUGGAGUUAAGUACUUUCCUUCAAAAGAAGCAGCAUAUCAAUAAGCUACCUUCGAGCUUCGAGAUUGUCGGCAAAAUUAUAGAUAGUCGGGUAUAAACACAGCUGUUCCUAUCAAAUCGGAGAGGGGUUAUCCAAGCAGUAGAGGAGAUCAACAAGAUGCUGAAAUUUCGGAUCCCGAUCUUAGCAAUUAGGGGUUUAAUUUCCUUGUUCUUCACGCACUUGGAGUAUAUAAAUAUACUUCCCCUGCUCAGUUUCGGAGGAGGAUAUACACAAAAACCUAGCCGAAAAUCACACAAAGAACAAGGGAAUUUGAGUGAGUCCUAAUUGGGCAAUUAACGAAGAGAAGAUAGCCAUUGGAGGGAAGCUUAGUCUCAAUUCCAAGGUUGAACAAGGUCGACGGUGAAUAGCAGGGUCGAAGCCGAGGUUCUUUCGGAUGUUCUUGAGUAUCUCUAUUAUAUAAGCCAGCUCCUGAGGUUAAUUUAGUAACUUAACUUUUCGUGUCCGCCAUAAAAAUGACUAAAAUGCCCCUUCCUAUUACUCACAAGUCACAACCCCAUCGCGUAAAACGUAAUCUCUUACCUAAAUCUCACUUCCUCCGCUACUUCUUUCUCCCGUACUUUCUCUCUCCUCAGUUCUCAAAUCUUCAGUUCUCAAAUCUUCUCAUCGCCGCUUCACUCUUCGCCGCAUCACUUCACUCAAAGAUCUCAUAUGUUCAGUUCGAUCGAUCCUUCUGCUUUUCUCAAGUUUUGUGUGUCGGUGUUUUGCUGGAAGCACAUUCAAGGGUAUUGUCUAUGUCACUAACAGCUACGCCGUCCCAGAGUAUUGACCGCUAAUAAUCCAAAGCGAGCCUUGCCUUCUUGGAUGAGUGCAAGAGACGGUGGAAACGGCAUUAAACAAGGUAAUGAUAGAAUGGAUGAUGACAGUCAAGUGGACAGUUUGUAGAAUAAAGUGAGAGGGCGAGGCAAGGGAGUGAAAGAUACAGAUAAUGGUGAAGAGAAUUACUCUAUAGCUGGUCCAAAUAAAUCGGAGUUCUCCAAUCUUUUGCACCGCCAGUGCAUACUAGAAAACUGUACUGAAGAUAUGAACUCACUCUCCAACUCGCUCCCUCGCUCCCUCUCUGCUGCUCCUGCUUCUUCCAGGAUUUGGGUACGAAGGAAUUGAAGUGGCUUGGAAACAAACUAUUUUAAAUGUUUAGUUACUUUGGUACUAAGAUCUCGAUUUUAAUCAUGUAGGCGCAUGAAUAAAUUGUAUUACUAUUUAGAUUUGUAAAAAUAGGCAUGAUUACUUUUUCUUUAGAUGAACUUUGCUAACGUUUUUUCUUGCCUACUACAUAUUUGUGAUGAUUAGUUGUAAUACUACAGUUUUAUAUAAUCUCGCACGCAUCGCGUGCAUAUAAGACUAGUACUUAAUAAGUCUUCU